UACGUAGGGGGCUAGCGUUGUCCGGAUUUAUUGGGCGUAAAGAGCGUGUAGGCGGCCAGAUAGGUCUGCUGUGAAAACUCGAGGCUCAACCUCGAGAUGUCGGCGGAAACCAUUUGGCUAGAGUCCGGAAGAGGAAAGUGGAAUUCCCGGUGUAGCGGUGAAAUGCGCAGAUAUCAGGAGGAACACCAAUGGCGAAGGCAGCUCGCUGGGACGUUACUGACGCUGAGACGCGAAAGCGUGGGGAGCAAACAGG
rnacentral:rRNA from 1 species